CUUCUUUUUUUUUGUUUAAUUUACAGAGGUGAGAGAGAAAAAAAUGUCACUUUAUGGCAUCAUUAAUUUCACCUGGUGGCCCCAUAAAAGGUGACGACAAUGUGGCGAGGAAUUGGAGGAUGAGUGGCGUGGCAGCUGAUUAAGUUUCUGCGCCAUUGUGUUGCGUAAUGAACUCAUCCGCAGCACUUGAUCACUUACUUGGGGAAGGAUUUGUCUGAUAACCCUUUUUAUGAUAAGAGUGGAGGAUUUAGCAAUGGAUCUGCUGCUGCUGCAGUGUUUAAACAAUAAAAGUAAGAGACAAACAUUUCUUUCACCUCUUUUUGCUAAUCUUUUCUUCUGUAAAAUAAUCAAGAAAAGUAAGAGAAAAUAUUUUAUUAUUUGCAUAAAUUCUCAGUGAGAAGAUCACAUGACUGUGGCUGGCUGGCUGGUGUGUGAUAAUAUAUCUUGCUGAUGCUGAAGCGUGGAUUAUCGAAUAGUACAUAAAGAGAGCAAUUCCAUGACAGUGAAUCAUGUCCCUACUGUCGACGGAUAGCUCUCUUUAUUUUCAUAUUCGCGUUAUUUUCCAUCGUUGCUGCUCACUUUCUUAUUUAUUUAGUCACUCUGAUUAAGUUACUAAAGAAAAUCACUUCACUUUUUCACAUUAAAAAAAAAAUCUGCACAAAGAAAUGGCGCAGGAUGGUUUAGCGUAGAAUUGGCGCGCAAUUGACUUGGAGUGCUGACUGAGUGAUCAUCAAGCCUUAAAGUCGAAGCACUGGCUGUAGAGGAGAGUUUUGAGGUGCAGACGACACUUGGUGGAUACACUCACGACUCCACCGUGUGACUGAUUGUACGGAAUUAUUAUUGGGAAGAAGUGUGUUGGCCUCUGUGUUAUCAUUUUUACCACAAAAAAAACACCACCAAACUCCCCACCUUACACCUUUUCUGUGUCACCUGGGAAGGUGGAACACACACAGUCGGAGGCAAGGAGGGAUCUUCCAAUGUGACCUGCCACAAGAUUUUCUCAACUUGUGCAUUAUCCAUAAGCACCUGCAUUGCCAAAUUGGGCCACAAAGCUGAUGCAAAUGAUGCUCAAAUUGGGCCACCCUUUUGGGUAUAAAAGAUCAAUAAAUUGAGAGGAAGAUCAAUCAAUAAUUCAUUCAGUUUCGAGAAAGAAAGUUUAAAAAAAUCAAUAAAAAUGUUUUCCGCUCUUUUGAGUCUUUUGCUGCUUUGGGCAACUCUGGCUGUGGUCCUUGCACAAAAUUCACAGCAGCAGCAGCAACAGAAUAUUCCAAAUAAUGCCCAACAGAAUCCCAUCAAUACUGACAUUAUCAGUGAUCUUGUGGGAGUGAUUGUUGGUGUAGCUCAGGGAAUCCUUGGUGGAGGAACAGACCUCGUGGGAGGAGUUGCUGGAUAGAGAAUCUGAGAAUUCUUUCUUUUUGUAAUUAUUGUUUUCUAAUGUGAACUCCAUGGAUGAUUUUUAAUAAUAAAAAAAUAUUUUUGAA